AUUUAUAAAAAUCAAUUUAUUAUUCACUGAAUAUCUUCAUCAAAAAUUAAACUUCACAUUAUCAAAAUAUGACUAAAAUAAUAUACUGUAUAUUCUUUGAAUAAAUUCACCAUGAGUUUAGCAUUGUGAUGCAUGUUGCUACAAAGGCAAGAUAUUGAAUUUCAUAAUAAGAGUAGAAAUGAUUCUAUAGGCCUAUAUAAUUUGUUAAGGCCCCGUCUCACUGUUCUGUAAAAGCGUUGUGGUGAUUGCCCGCAACUCACCAACAAAAUGUUUUUUUUUAGCAUGUUCAAAACUGUUAUGCAUGCAAAUCAGAUUCAAUUUUGCGUGCGCUUCUGCGUGUGAGAUACUGUCAAUGCGGGCGACUUGCGGGCAACCUACUGGGAGCAAAAAAGUUACCAGCAAGUAACACACAAGGCUUGUACAGAACGAUGUGACAGGACCUUAAGGCCCAAAUUCACAAAGGGAUCUUGCUAAUCUUCGUAUCCAAUUUUAAAUCUUAAAAACAAAUACAACCAUCAUAAGUUGUCUUCAUACAUUUCAGUAACACAUUAUCAAUGUUGUCAAUAAUGAAAUAGAUUCAAAGAAAAUUGCUUAUAAUAUUUCAAACAUAUACACAUGCA